UUGACAACGGUUUUCGAGGGGUGUGAAUUUCAACAGUUACCUCCCAAACAGAAUCUAUUUAUUUUAUUAUACUGAAUGUCUUAAUUUUAAAGAACAUUUUACUGCUUUUAUACAAAAAUAAAGUGAAUUCUGUGGCGAACCGUACGCGCAUAAUUUACUCGCAUUUAACAAUUCGUUGUGUUACCCGUUGCCAAGUGUGUUGCUAAUGCUGAGGGUAAUAGAAUGGAUUAUCAACUGCGUCUAAACCAAUCAGAUUUCAGUAUUUAACAUGAAAGUAUUAUAAAAGAUAUUUAGAAGUUGUCUUUACUUAAUACUUAUUAAUAUCAGCCAAAAAAUCACAGAUGAUAAUUUAAAUUAGAUCUGAUGAGUAGUUUAGAUGGCCAGCCUCUUUAAGAGAUCAAAGAAUUUUUAUGUGUGUGAAUAGAGAAUAUUUGUAUGUAUUUAUUUUCUAUUAUUUAUUUUCCUUUUAUUUUUGGUUACCAGGUAUAUUUUUCUGAAAUAGUUUUCUUCGACAUCAGUAUAUGGAUUAUAUUCCGACCCAAGAAUUGUACGUGUUCUUAGCAUCAGGGGCCAGUAGUCUUCUUUGAAUGUUUCUGUCUGACUCUGGCAUGAAACAAAAUUUUUAUUUGGAAUUUCGAAUCUUGUAAAUUAUAUGGGUCUUUCAUUGUUUAUCACUGAGUAGAACAUACCGAGUAUUUGUGCUCUGAACAAGACAAGAAGAUUUAGUUUGGUUUUGAUUUGAAAUAAGAGAGAGAGGGGAGAAAAAAAUAGAGAAAUAGCUCUGAUACAUAGAAAUCCAAGUUGUAUAAAUUCUCUCUAUUUACAAUGUUAUAAUGACCAUGCUGUUUAUUUUCUCAUUAUUUACUUGUUAAAUAAUAAAACAUGACCAAACC
rnacentral:sRNA from 1 species